AUUGAACGCUGGCGGAAUGCUUUACACAUGCAAGUCGAACGGCAGCACGGGGGCAGCCCUGGUGGCGAGUGGCGAACGGGUGAGUAAUACAUCGGAACGUGCCCGGUCGUGGGGGAUAACGUAGCGAAAGUUACGCUAAUACCGCAUACGAUCUGAGGAUGGAAGCGGGGGACCUUCGGGCCUCGCGCGAUCGGAGCGGCCGAUGUCAGAUUAGGUAGUUGGUGGGGUAAAGGCCUACCAAGCCGACGAUCUGUAGCUGGUCUGAGAGGACGACCAGCCACACUGGGACUGAGACACGGCCCAGACUCCUACGGGAGGCAGCAGUGGGGAAUUUUGGACAAUGGGCGCAAGCCUGAUCCAGCCAUUCCGCGUGCAGGACGAAGGCCUUCGGGUUGUAAACUGCUUUUGUACGGAGCGAAAAGGCUCUGGCUAAUACCUGGGGCUCAUGACGGUACCGGAAGAAUAAGCACCGGCUAACUACGUG
rnacentral:rRNA from 1 species